AACCCUUCUUUUUUUUUUGGCGAAUGACCUUGGCCUUAAAAGAGUGUUAUUUCGAACUUAUUGAAAUAACAGCCCGUCGUUAUUCGAUCGAGGUCGAACCCUUCUCUUUUUUGGCGAAGGCCCUUUUCCUUAAAAGGAGUUAUUUCGAACUUAUCGAAAUAACAGCCCGUCAUCGUUCGACCGAGGUUGAACCCUUCUCUUUUUUGGCGAAGGCCCUUGGCCCUAAAGGGUAUAAUUUUGAACUUAUCGCAAUAACUGCCCAUCGUUGUUCGAUCGAGGUCGAACCCUUCUCUUUUUUUAGUGAAGUCUCUUGACCUUAAAGGGUGUUAUUUCAAACUUAUCGAAAUAACAGCCCAUUUAUAUUCGAUAAAGGUCGAACCCUUCUCUUUUUUGGUGAAGGCCCUCUUGGUAUUAAAGGGUGUUAUUUCGAAAUUAUCAAAAUAACAACCCGUCGUUGUUCGUCAGAGGUCGAACUCUUCUCUUUUUUUGCCUAAGGCCCUUGGCCUUAAAGGGUGUUAUUUCAAACUUAUCGAAGUAACAGCCCUUCGUUGUUCGAUCAGGGUCGAACCCUUCUCAUUUUUGGCGAACGCCCUUGGUCUUAAAGGGUGUUAUUUCAAACUUAUCGAAAUAACAGCCAGUCGUCGUUCGAUCGAGGUCGAACCCUUCUCAUAUUUCCUGAAGUCCUUUGGCCUUAAAGGGUAUUAUAAUUUGAACUUAUCGAAAUAACAGCCCAUCGACAUUCUAUCAAGUUCGAACCCUUCCCUUUUUUGGCGAAGGCCCUUAGCCUUAAAGGGUGUUAUUUC
rnacentral:lncRNA from 1 species